AUUGAACGCUGGCGGCAUGCCUUACACAUGCAAGUCGAACGGCAGCAUGAUCUAGCUUGCUAGAUUGAUGGCGAGUGGCGAACGGGUGAGUAAUACAUCGGAACGUGCCCUGUAGUGGGGGAUAACUAGUCGAAAGAUUAGCUAAUACCGCAUACGACCUGAGGGUGAAAGUGGGGGACCGCAAGGCCUCAUGCUAUAGGAGCGGCCGAUGUCUGAUUAGCUAGUUGGUGAGGUAAAGGCUCACCAAGGCGACGACCAGUAGCUGGUCUGAGAGGACGAUCAGCCACACUGGGACUGAGACACGGCCCAGACUCCUACGGGAGGCAGCAGUGGGGAAUUUUGGACAAUGGGCGAAAGCCUGAUCCAGCAAUGCCGCGUGUGUGAAGAAGGCCUUCGGGUUGUAAAGCACUUUUGUCCGGAAAGAAAUGGCUCUGGUUAAUACCUGGGGUCGAUGACGGUACCGGAAGAAUAAGGACCGGCUAACUACGUG
rnacentral:rRNA from 1 species